rnacentral:rRNA from 1 species
GGCUUAGAGUUUGAUCAUGGCUCAGGACGAACGCUGGCGGCGUGCCUAUACAUGCAAGUCGAGCGAGCGGAACUAACAGAUUUACUUCGGUAAUGACGUUAGGAAAGCGAGCGGCGGAUGGGUGAGUAACACGUGGGGAACCUGCCCUAUAGUCUGGGAUACCACUUGGAAACAGGUGCUAAUACCGGAUAAGAAAGCAGAUCGCAUGAUCAGCUUUUAAAAGGCGGCGUAAGCUGUCGCUAUGGGAUGGCCCCGCGGUGCAUUAGCUAGUUGGUAAGGUAAAGGCUUACCAAGGCGAUGAUGCAUAGCCGAGUUGAGAGACUGAUCGGCCACAUUGGGACUGAGACACGGCCCAAACUCCUACGGGAGGCAGCAGUAGGGAAUCUUCCACAAUGGACGCAAGUCUGAUGGAGCAACGCCGCGUGAGUGAAGAAGGUUUUCGGAUCGUAAAGCUCUGUUGUUGGUGAAGAAGGAUAGAGGUAGUAACUGGCCUUUAUUUGACGGUAAUCAACCAGAAAGUCACGGCUAACUACGUGCCAGCAGCCGCGGUAAUACGUAGGUGGCAAGCGUUGUCCGGAUUUAUUGGGCGUAAAGCGAGCGCAGGCGGAAGAAUAAGUCUGAUGUGAGAGCCCUCGGCUUAACCGAGGAACUGCAUCGGAAACUGUUUUUCUUGAGUGCAGAAGAGGAGAGUGGAACUCCAUGUGUAGCGGUGGAAUGCGUAGAUAUAUGGAAGAACACCAGUGGCGAAGGCGGCUCUCUGGUCUGCAACUGACGCUGAGGCUCGAAAGCAUGGGUAGCGAACAGGAUUAGAUACUCUGGUAGUCCAUGCCGUAACGAUGAGUGCUAAGUGUUGGGAGGUUUCUGCCUCUCAG